UACGUAGGGUGCAAGCGUUGUCCGGAAUUAUUGGGCGUAAAGCGCUCGUAGGCGGUCUGUUGCGUCUGCUGUGAAAACUCAGGGCUUAACCCUGGGCUUGCAGUGGGUACGGGCAGACUAGAGUGCGGUAGGGGAGAGUGGAAUUCCUGGUGUAGCGGUGAAAUGCGUAGAUAUCAGGAGGAACACCGGUGGCGAAGGCGGGUCUCUGGGCCGUAACUGACGCUGAGGCGCGAAAGCGUGGGGAGCGAACAGG
rnacentral:rRNA from 1 species